rnacentral:rRNA from 1 species
AUUGAACGCUGGCGGCAGGCCUAACACAUGCAAGUCGGGCGAACGAGGCUUCGGCCAAGUGAGCGGCGAACGGGUGAGUAACACGUAGGAAUCUGCCUGGUAGUGGGGGACAACGUCUCGAAAGGGACGCUAAUACCGCAUACGCCCUACGGGGGAAAGCAGGGGCUCUUCGGACCUUGCGCUAUCAGAUGAGCCUGCGUCGGAUUAGCUAGUUGGUGGGGGAAAGGCCUACCAAGGCGACGAUCCGUAACUGGUCUGAGAGGAUGAUCAGUCACAACGGAACUGAGACACGGUCCGGACUCCUACGGGAGGCAGCAGUGGGGAAUAUUGGACAAUGGGGGCAACCCUGAUCCAGCCAUGCCGCGUGUGUGAAGAAGGCCUUCGGGUUGUAAAGCACUUUAGGUCGGGAGGAAGGUUCGCUGGCUAAUAUCCAGCGGAAUUGACGUUACCGACGGAAUAAGCACCGGCUAACUCCGUGCCAGCAGCCGCCGUAAUAC